AACUCAGCAACCCAUAGUACUUUCUGAUAUUUCUAUGUUAUAAGUCAUAAAUAGGAUCCGUAAAACAAGGAUCUUAAGUGGCCUAGCUUGAACAUGUCCUGGGUGGCUCAUAGCCCCAUAGUUGUCUUCUUUCAAAUCACGCAAUAUAAAGCUUUUGCUCAUGUCCAUGAGUUAUUAACUUGUAAUACACAAUUCCUACUGGCAUCAUAUAUCCGUAAGUGCACAAUGAUGUAUCACUAUAAUAGCCACCGUUCCUCUGUUCUCAGCCAUUAUGGUUUGAUAAUUUCACAGGUUGUCUCUGUAGUUCUGGAAAAUUAUGAGAGUCCAUAUGCAAAUUCUGAUAAUAAUGAUGCCACUGUUAAGGAUAGACGAAUUCGGUGGGUGAGUGAAGUUCUCAAUGCUGAAGGUCAUGAACCUCCUGCUAUUACCAUUUUGACAAGGGUUCCUUCAUGGAAAGAUAUUAGAGCUGCCCACGGUGAAUUAAGUUUGACAAUAGAAGAAUCAGAAAGUCCAAAUUUUUGGUCAGGAAUUUGUCUGCACAACCUUGCUAGAAUAUCCAGGGAAGCAACAACAAUCUGACGAGUUCUGGAAACUAUAUUCCAUUAUUUUGAUAAUAACAAUCAGUGGUCACCUUCCAAAGGAUUUGCACUGUGUGUCCUUCUGGAUAUAUGCAAAUUGUGAUGGAGAAAUAUGCAUGAAAUUUAAAUCAUUGUAUGCCAGGAUAGAACACACAUAUAUUGUUGUCUAUGUUAGUCAAGCAUCUUGAACACAAGAAUGUAUUGGGACAACCGAAUAUGAUUUUAGAUAUCAUUGAAGUUACAGUACGCCUUGCUGAGCACUCCAAAGCUCAGUCUUGUACAACACUAAUGACUGCGAUAAGUGAUAUGGUCAGGCAUUUGGGUAAAAGCAUGCAAUCCUUGGUCAGUGAUGCAGGUCCUGGAGACAACAUGGUCAAAUGGAAUAACAGAUACGGGAAAGCUG